AUAUUUAUACUUUCAGGGAUCAUUUCUAUAGUUCAUAACAAAAUAUUAAAAAAAAUAAGAUUAAUGAAAAAAACCACGAUGAAAGCUGCAAAAAUUUAACCUAGGUAAAAUCUGUCAAAAGCAUGUAUCAGGGGCACCUGGGUGGC
rnacentral:snoRNA from 1 species